GCUGGAAGUUGCCACCCUGAACAAGCCCGAUCCCGUCUGAUCUCGAAAUUUAAGCAGGAUUGGGCCUGGUUAGUACUUGGAUGGGAGACCACCUAGGAAGACCAAGUGCUGUAGGUA
rnacentral:rRNA from 1 species